rnacentral:lncRNA from 1 species
AAAUGGCUGCAAAUGCUACUGUGGCUAUAAGAACAGCAACCACAGUUGUUGAAUUGAUGGCAUUGUUUAGGCCCUCGGAGUGCAUUUUGUUUAGGCGUUUCGCUAUUCCUUGGACUCGUCUUCGGGUUUGUCGAGUGUGUUCUAAUUGGUAAUGAACUUCGUGUUUUAUGUCGCUUACUGUUUGCUUUAAUUCUCUUGCUGGAUUUUUCACUUCUGGUUUGAUUGCUUUUGCACUUUGUACACCAUGCUCUUUUAGAGUCAAAGCUAUGUCCGGGUUCCCUGUUUUCUCUGCCGUGUCUAGAGCUGUCUCCCCCGACCUAUUCACCGCCUUCGUAUUCGUUUCACUGUGCCUGAGAAGCAUUCUAACAAUCUGCACAAAGAAUAGCCAAAAUUAUCUUAUACAUAUCUUUAUACAAAGGCAAGAACAAGAUCAUAUAUUAAUGUUUCUAUGGGAAACAGAGCAAUGACAAUGAAUUAUUGCAACUAAAAGUUUUGUUAGGUGCUUCUUAUCUUAGCAUUUUGAUAUUAUUCAUGAUUUUAGACCUAAGACUGAGUUGGAUAUAUAAAUGAUCUUUGAAUCUGUAUUAUAUGUUUCUUUCUCCCUUUAACAAAGGAACAUCAUUGGCAAACUACGUAAAUUCAUGAUUUCUCUACUGUUUAUGUAUUUUAUGUUUCUUUGAUUGCUGAUUUGUUAACAUUUCUAUUGUGGAUCAAGCUACAAAUCUCAAUUAUCACUUUACAAUGUUUGUAAACAUGAAAUUUCAAUCUGAAUUCGUCCCGAAACACCUUGGAAAUAAUAGAAAAAAGGAUUGGAAAUUCAUUGAAAUACCUCAGCUCUGCCCUUUCUUGCAGCUAUAUGCAGGACAGUGUUGCCUUUAUUGUCAACCAUAUUUAUAGAGGAUGGAUCCGCCUUGAUCAGCUCUUCCACCACCUCAAGGUUCUGCCCUUUCGACGCCAUUUGCAGUGCGGUCUGUCCUUUCUUGUCGGUUCGUGUUGCC